rnacentral:rRNA from 1 species
GAUGAACGCUGGCGGCGUGCCUAAUACAUGCAAGUCGAGCGAACGGACGAGAAGCUUGCUUCUCUGAUGUUAGCGGCGGACGGGUGAGUAACACGUGGAUAACCUACCUAUAAGACUGGGAUAACUUCGGGAAACCGGAGCUAAUACCGGAUAAUAUUUUGAACCGCAUGGUUCAAAAGUGAAAGACGGUCUUGCUGUCACUUAUAGAUGGAUCCGCGCUGCAUUAGCUAGUUGGUAAGGUAACGGCUUGCCAAGGCAACGAUGCAUAGCCGACCUGAGAGGGUGAUCGGCCACACUGGAACUGAGACACGGUCCAGACUCCUACGGGAGGCAGCAGUAGGGAAUCUUCCGCAAUGGGCGAAAGCCUGACGGAGCAACGCCGCGUGAGUGAUGAAGGUCUUCGGAUCGUAAAACUCUGUUAUUAGGGAAGAACAUAUGUGUAAGUAACUGUGCACAUCUUGACGGUACCUAAUCAGAAAGCCACGGCUAGCUACGUG